GGAUACGUAAAAGAGUGCGAUUCCUUUGUUAGGGACGACAAUCUAACUCAGAGGUUGCAGAAUAACGAAGAACGGCUACAAGGCAAGAGGGAAGGAGGAAGGAGGAAGGAGGAGGACGGCCAAGGCCUAACCUUAAACAAUUUUCUUUUUUUUAUUUUAACCCUAGUUUAAAGGCCUUAACUGAUUUAUGGGCUUUUCUUUUUGUAUGAUGUUG
rnacentral:lncRNA from 1 species